CAGUCGCCGCGGUAACACAGAGGGUGCGAGCGUUAAUCGGAUUUACUGGGCGUAAAGCGUGCGUAGGCGGCUAAUUGAGUCGGAUGUGAAAUCCCCGAGCUUAACUUGGGAAUUGCAUUCGAUACUGGUUAGCUAGAGUGUGGGAGAGGAUGGUAGAAUUCCAGGUGUAGCGGUGAAAUGCGUAGAGAUCUGGAGGAAUACCGAUGGCGAAGGCAGCCAUCUGGCCUAACACUGACGCUGAGGUACGAAAGCAUGGGGAGCAAACAGGAUUAGAUACCCCCGUAGUCCCUGUCUCUUAUAC
rnacentral:rRNA from 1 species